rnacentral:rRNA from 1 species
CCUACGGGAGGCUGCAGUGGGGAAUAUUGCACAAUGGGCGAAAGCCUGAUGCAGCCAUGCCGCGUGUGUGAAGAAGGCCUUCGGGUUGUAAAGCACUUUCAGCGGGGAGGAAGGCGAUAAGGUUAAUAACCUUGGCGAUUGACGUUACCCGCAGAAGAAGCACCGGCUAACUCCGUGCCAGCAGCCGCGGUAAUACGGAGGGUGCAAGCGUUAAUCGGAAUUACUGGGCGUAAAGCGCACGCAGGCGGUCUGUCAAGUCGGAUGUGAAAUCCCCGGGCUCAACCUGGGAACUGCAUUCGAAACUGGCAGGCUAGAGUCUUGUAGAGGGGGGUAGAAUUCCAGGUGUAGCGGUGAAAUGCGUAGAGAUCUGGAGGAAUACCGGUGGCGAAGGCGGCCCCCUGGACAAAGACUGACGCUCAGGUGCGAAAGCGUGGGGAGCAAACAGGAUUAGAUACCCGGGUAGUC